rnacentral:lncRNA from 1 species
CUUGCCUGAACAUCUAUUUUAUAUUCUGUUUUUUUAGAUACUACAAAAAUACUACAUUUGAAAAAGGAUUCUUGAAAGUGCAGUACCUUUGUGUGACCACAAGAUGUAGGUGUCACAUCACCUAUGAACCUACCCUAUGUUAAAAUCAUACACACUUGUAAAAACUGUUGUACGGUCACAUUGGAUUUGAAAGAAACAUCCUUUCUUCCAUACAUCCACGCUGCCUGAAAGACGACAGCUUCCUGAAUCCAACGAUACCAGAUAUGUGCACAUCGGACCUCCGCUUCAAAGAUACGGCCAGGUAAGCUUUGGCCAAUCAGAUCGCAUAUGCUAAUGAGGGUGGAAUUAAUGAGGUGAACUUCGUUUUAUCUAUAUCACACACACACACACACACACACACACAAAUGCCUGUGCACUCUCACACACACAUGUGCACAAUCACACACACGUACUCACACACACAAACUAAUACCUUCUUCCUAAAAGACUAUUGAUUUCACAGGUUAUUUCAUUUGGAUGUAUUUUUGCCUUUGCCGAUGACUGACUUCCUUUUUGUCACACUUUAGACUGUUGUAAGGUCACAUUGGAUUUGAAAGCAACAUCCUUUCUUCCAUACAUCCGCGCUACCUGAAAGACGACAGCUUCCUGAAUCCAACGAUACCAGACUGACUUCCUUUUUGUCACACUUUAGACUGUUGUAAGGUCACAUUGGAUUUGAAAGCAACAUCCUUUCUUCCAUACAUCCGCGCUACCUGAAAGACGACAGCUUCCUGAAUCCAACGAUACCAGUUAUGUGCACAUCGGACCUCCGCUUCAAAAGAUAUGGCCAGGUAAGCUUUGGCCAAUCAGAUCGCAUAUGCUAAUGAGGGUGGAAUUAAUGAAGGGUGAAACUCGUUUUUAUCUAUAUACCUAGUUGCAAUUAACCCCAGACUAGCCCCUAACCCUAACCAUAAACUGCUAGCCCUAGCCUCACUAACCACUAGACUUAACCCACUAACCCAGCCCUGACCCACAAACUUUAAACAUUCAUUAACGCAAAACUUCAUCAAAUUCUGUACAGAAAUAACAUCAAACUAAUCUCUAUCUAUCUAUCUAUCUAUCUAUCUAUCUAUCUAUCUAUCUAUCUGGGCUGGACCUGCGAAACUCAACCCUAGCCCUAGCACUGCGAAACUCAAGUAAGGGUGCA